rnacentral:lncRNA from 1 species
GGAGUAUUACAUUUAAUCAUCAAGAAUUGGAAUAUAUCAAUGCACUCUCACCCCCAUUAAGUUUAAAGUAAAGUGUGUGUGUGUGUAUGUGUGUGUGUUAUUUUUAUAUUCAAGCAGUUUUACAUUAUUUUUAAAUCGGAAAUUUUUUUCUCUUUGCAACAGGGUUUUUUUCUUAAAAUGUAGCCUUUAUGAUAUAUUCUAAAUGUUUUGCAAUCAAAUUUUCAUCUCAUUUUAUAUUUUUUAACUGAAAAUGCAUUAAAACUCCCCUUUUUGCUCACACCUGAUCACCAUCCACAGUGGAAAACAGUACUCCCGUGCCCAAACCCCACAUUCAGCACUGAGACCCGGAAAUGUUCCUGCUGCUUCAUCACACCAAGCAACAUUUGGUGGGGGGGGUCAUCUAUUCCCAGUUUGAAUUCCGAGUUUUGGAAUCCUACUCUACAUUUUUUAGAUUAACAGAUGUUUUGUGGUAUUUUAUGUUCCAAGAAGCAUCACUGCAAAGAUUGAUCUAUAGAUGAGUAAUGAUCAGUGAAAAGCUGACACAGAGCACAAGGUAUAAUAACUUUUAUGGUUAGGAAUCUGAUAUGCUGCCAGCAGAGUUUCUUCAAUUCACACCUCCGUUUCCUUAUUGCCUUGAUGCUUGGAUAUGGCGCAGGGAAAAUGAGAGUGAGACCGCAGAUGAAAGUCUUUUAUAACAAAAAGAGGAAAUCUUAUUGAUGAGCUGUUUCAAUCACUUAUUUUGAUAGAUGAAAAAACUAAGGCCAGUGGAAGUGAAGUGACUGGCAAAGUCUCAGAGAAAGAGAAUGGCAACUAAAAAGCUCAUAUGGAAAGUAAAGCCACAGAGUGGGUUGGGUAAUCUCAGGAGUGUAGUCUGGCGGACACAUGAAGUAGAGCAUGCAUGAAAUGUUCACAGCUACAGACAUGCUCAGAUGCACUCUCUCUUCCUUCAGUGGCAAAGGUGACCCUGAAAGAGCUUCUAACCACACAGGUGCUUUACCUUCACUUGCUCUCUCCUCUUGGCACUGGGACGUGGAGAGGAAGAGUUAGUCCCUCAAAUGAUAUUGUGACAACUACACUACAUGAAGGCCUGGGGGGGUAUUCAAGAUCGUCUCUUCAUUGGGAGCUCUGUCUAGAGAAUAAGAAAAAAACCAAGUGGUAUAUUGAGAAUUAUUGCUCAUAG